GAAAAAUUAUAACAAAAUUAUAGAAAUUGCAACAAAAUUAGGGGAAUUAAACGCUGGAUGUUGAAAUUUGAAAAUAUAAUUAAAAGAGGAUUAGAAGAAUCACACUCAAAAGGGGAUUAGAAGAAUCACACCGUGUAUGCCCACUGAGUCACCGUCACAGUGUCAGACUGACAGCAGUGAUAGGCUCAGUCUCAGAAGUCAGACCGUCAGACGUGAGGGAGGGACUGAGGGGACGGACGGGCCCGCCGGGGGUCACGGCCUCACGGGACUACGGGAGCCGGGGCCGGGGAGGGAGCCUCACGCCGUCUGCCAUCACGGCCUCACGCCUCAUGGGAGUCGGGGCCGGGGGCGAGCGAGGAGCGGAGGAGGUCACAGCUCACGGGAG
rnacentral:lncRNA from 1 species